GCCAGUGUAACAUAGUGGUUUGAGUACUGGACUGAGACUCUGGAGACCAGGGCUCGAUUCCCAGCUCUGCUA